CCAAGAAAAAAAAACAAAGCUUGUAACAAGUAAUAAAAAUCUUCUUCUAAGUUAUAAAAUCUUUCUUCUUCACAAAGUUUCUUUCUCUUCAAACAGUUAAAACACUUUCUCCGUCUCUACAAAGUUUUUCAUUCCAACACUAACCAGAACGAUAAGUUUGAUCCAAUUCGAGAUAGAGAUCACAACACCGACAUAUGGAAGGGUUUUGGAUUCAUAAAGAUCGAAACUUUACAGUAAUGAAGUUGUUCCAAGUCUUAGAUAAAACACAAACACACGAAACUUAAAAGAGUUUGCAUGUUGAAGGGUUUUGAGUCUUUUGCACGUCUCUGGUUGCAUAAGCAGCAGGGCCGAGAGGCUCCUGUUUUCUUGCUCUUGGCUUCGCUUUCCUCCAUUUUUACUACUAGUGGCCGUUGUGAAACUCGGAGUGAUAGAGAAACGGCCGCGUUAUGUACAUACAUGGGCGUUUAAGUGCCUUGAGAACUCAUUCUCUCUUUAGUUUGUAUAACAAUUAUUAAAAAAAAAAUGUAAUAUAUUUAAAAUUUUUUGGAUCUGAAUUCGGAUAUCCAAAC
rnacentral:lncRNA from 1 species